CAUGGAGCCAGCCACCAGGUCAGACAUGCUGAAUCUUUUCCGCCUCUGCAGGAUCUGGCCUCCAGAUUAGCUUUUCAGGCCUGCCCUCGGCAACAUACAGGUCGGCUCAGAUCAGCCCCAGUGCAUGGCUACUGCUGACCUCUGCAGUCACUGUGGU